UAAAAAAAGGUAAGCUACUAAGAGCGAAUGGUGGAUGCCUUGACUGGUAAAGGCGAUGAAGGACGUACUAGACUGCGAUAAGCUACGGGGAGCUGUCAAGAAGCUUUGAUCCGUAGAUUUCCGAAUGGGGCAACCCAAUGUAUAGAGAUAUACAUUACCUAUAUAGGAGCGAACGAGGGGAAUUGAAACAUCUUAGUACCCUCAGGAAAAGAAAUCAAUAGAGAUUGCGUCAGUAGCGGCGAGCGAAAGCGCAAGAGGGCAAACCCAGUGCUUGCACUGGGGGUUGUAGGACUGCAAUGUGCAAGAGCUGAGUUUAGCAGAACAUUCUGGAAAGUAUAGCCAUAGAGGGUGAUAGUCCCGUAUGCGAAAAACAAAGCUUAGCUAGCAGUAUCCUGAGUAGGGCGGGACACGAGGAAUCCUGUCUGAAUCCGGGUCGACCACGAUCCAACCCUAAAUACUAAUACCAGAUCGAUAGUGCACAAGUACCGUGAGGGAAAGGUGAAAAGAACUGAGGUGAUCAGAGUGAAAUAGAACCUGAAACCAUUUGCUUACAAUCAUUCAGAGCACUAUGUAGCAAUACAGUGUGAUGGACUGCCUUUUGCAUAAUGAGCCUGCGAGUUGUGGUGUCUGGCAAGGUUAAGCAAACGCGAAGCCGUAGCGAAAGCGAGUCUGAAUAGGGCGCUUAGUCAGAUGCUGCAGACCCGAAACGAAGUGAUCUAUCCAUGAGCAAGUUGAAGCUAGUGUAAGAACUAGUGGAGGACUGAACCCAUAGGCGUUGAAAAGCCCCGGGAUGACUUGUGGAUAGGGGUGAAAGGCCAAUCAAACUUCGUGAUAGCUGGUUCUCUCCGAAAUAUAUUUAGGUAUAGCGUUGUGUCGUAAUAUAAGGGGGUAGAGCACUGAAUGGGCUAGGGCAUACACCAAUGUACCAAACCCUAUCAAACUCCGAAUACCUUAUAUGUAAUCACAGCAGUCAGGCGGCGAGUGAUAAAAUCCGUCGUCAAGAGGGAAACAACCCAGACUACCAGCUAAGGUCCCUAAAUCUUACUUAAGUGGAAAACGAUGUGAAGUUACUUAAACAACCAGGAGGUUGGCUUAGAAGCAGCCAUCCUUUAAAGAAAGCGUAAUAGCUCACUGGUCUAGUGAUUUUGCGCGGAAAAUAUAACGGGGCUAAAGUAAGUACCGAAGCUGUAGACUUGCACACAACUUAGAUUAUUUAAGUUUAGAAUAUGAGAAACUAAGUUAUAUGUUUAGUUAUAUUUUUACUGAUUUUUAUAGAGUAAAGAUAGAAAUAAAACUUAGUAAAAUCAGUAAAAAUAUUCUUAGGCUAAAGUUAAGUAGUUUAAGUUGUGUGCAAGUGGUAGGAGAGCGUUCUAUUUGCGUCGAAGGUAUACCGGUAAGGAGUGCUGGAGCGAAUAGAAGUGAGCAUGCAGGCAUGAGUAGCGAUAAUUAAUGUGAGAAUCAUUAACGCCGUAAACCCAAGGUUUCCUACGCGAUGCUCGUCAUCGUAGGGUUAGUCGGGUCCUAAGUCGAGUCCGAAAGGGGUAGACGAUGGCAAAUUGGUUAAUAUUCCAAUACCAACAUUAGUGUGCGAUGGAAGGACGCUUAGGGCUAAGGGGGCUAGCGGAUGGAAGUGCUAGUCUAAGGUUGUAGGAGGUUAUACAGGCAAAUCCGUAUAACAAUACUCCGAGAACUGAAAGGCUUUUUGAAGUCUUCGGAUGGAUAGAAGAACCCCUGAUGCCGUCGAGCCAAGAAAAGUUUCUAAGUUUAGCUAAUGUUGCCCGUACCGUAAACCGACACAGGUGGGUGGGAUGAGUAUUCUAAGGCGCGUGGAAGAACUCUCUUUAAGGAACUCUGCAAAAUAGCACCGUAUCUUCGGUAUAAGGUGUGGUUAGCUUCGUACUAGGAUUUACUCCGAAAGCGAAGAAACUUACAACAAAGAGUCCCUCCCGACUGUUUACCAAAAACACAGCACUCUGCUAACUCGUAAGAGGAUGUAUAGGGUGUGACGCCUGCCCGGUGCUCGAAGGUUAAUUGAUGGGGUUAGCAUUAGCGAAGCUCUUGAUCGAAGCCCGAGUAAACGGCGGCCGUAACUAUAACGGUCCUAAGGUAGCGAAAUUCCUUGUCGGUUAAAUACCGACCUGCAUGAAUGGCGUAACGAGAUGGGAGCUGUCUCAAAGAGGGAUCCAGUGAAAUUGUAGUGGAGGUGAAAAUUCCUCCUACCCGCGGCAAGACGGAAAGACCCCGUGGACCUUUACU
rnacentral:rRNA from 1 species